rnacentral:rRNA from 1 species
GACGAACGCUGGCGGCGUGCCUAAUACAUGCAAGUUGAGCGCUGAAGGUUGGUACUUGUACCGACUGGAUGAGCAGCGAACGGGUGAGUAACGCGUGGGGAAUCUGCCUUUGAGCGGGGGACAACAUUUGGAAACGAAUGCUAAUACCGCAUAAAAACUUUAAACACAAGUUUUAAGUUUGAAAGAUGCAAUUGCAUCACUCAAAGAUGAUCCCGCGUUGUAUUAGCUAGUUGGUGAGGUAAAGGCUCACCAAGGCGAUGAUACAUAGCCGACCUGAGAGGGUGAUCGGCCACAUUGGGACUGAGACACGGCCCAAACUUCUACGGGAGGCAGCAGUAGGGAAUCUUCGGCAAUGGACGAAAGUCUGACCGAGCAACGCCGCGUGAGUGAAGAAGGUUCUCGGAUCGUAAAACUCUGUUGGUAGGGAAGAACGUUGGUGAGAGUGGAAAGCUCAUCAAGUGACGGUAACUACCCAGAAAGGGACGGCUAACUACGUG